CUGAAUUUCCCCAGGAAUUAUUAGCGUGAGUUUCCCACCAGAAAGCAGCAGGAAUGGGUGGUUGAAGAAGAGAUAUCUGCUGUAAGUUUAAAGAGUACAUUUUAUCACACACAGUCUUGUGGCUUGAAAAUCUGUACACACGUUAUAGGGAAUAUGGGAGACAGCCCCAGCAGUAAUCUCAUGGUAUCUCCAAGUGCCAGGCACCAAAGCUAGGAAGCUGUUGGGGAAUUUAUGCUGGCCACCAGCCCAUGAAGCAGAUGCUGUUACCUCCCUGGUUCUACACCUGGGGAAACUGUAGCACACAGAGGAGGAGUCAAUUGUCAGGGGUCUCAGGGCUCCUCAAAGAGGGCCAUUCAGGUCCCAGGUUUGUCAAACUCUAAAUUGCACACCGGUUUGCAGGACGCUUUCCUGCCCCCAGUACAAGAAUGAAAUAAAAGCCUCACUGCGGAAGAGAGUGAAACAGCCAGCAAAACUUUUUUUAAAAAGUGUGAUACAGUUAUUUCCCACAAUAAAGUGCUAAAUGGAAGGGGGGAAACGCAGUGUAGGGAACUGUUCCUAUAGUACCAUUCCAGGAAUAUAAAAAGAUAAUUUAUAUUUACAGAGGAAACCACAGGGGACCAAUGGGGUUCUUGUGCAUUUACUCAACAGAUAUACAACGAGAACACACUGCGAGGCACUAUUCAAUGGGUGUGCUGCACACUCAAUGGUUUUCUAUACUCAGGGGGAGUGACUUCUACAAUGAGAGAAUAUAUUUUACCAUAUAUGAAACCCAGGUCCACAAACCCAGGACAACCCAAGAAGAGACCUUGACAAGACGAUUCCGAGAGGCAGAAAUACAAGAUGCGAAGGAACCUAGGCAGCUCCGGAGGAGAAAGGCCAACUGGAAAAGCAAACGGGCCUUGCCGGCAGGCAGGGAAUUUUCCGAAGGGGGCGCGCUGAAGGCUGCAGCCGGCCCGGGAGCGGCCCAGCCCGCGCAGACGCAGAAAGAAGCCGCCCUCUCCACGGACAAGGCUCCGCGCAGUUUUUUCAAGCACGAAGGGCGGGGCAGGAGGGCGGCUGGUCGGCUGCACGGCGCAACACUGCCACCUGCAGACCAGAGAAACCCCACGCCACCCACCCCAGCGAAAACUCCAUCUUUUCCGCGGCCGUUCCGCGCAACGACCUGGAGCUCGUGGCUCAGGAAGGCCGGCGGGAGGGAGAUGAGGACCACGGAAAGGAAGAGAAGCGGCCAGAGCGGCCCCGGCAACCGGGCUGGGGCACCGCCGCCUUCCCGGC
rnacentral:lncRNA from 1 species